rnacentral:ncRNA from 2 species
UUCCGUAGGUUAACCUGCGGAAGGAUCAUUA